GUUUAAGCCGUAGCUGUCUGGAUGCUGCUGCUAAAUUGGAGUUGAAUCUCAGAGCACGACACUGCCUCUCUCUCUCUUUCCAGAGGAAGACAGACCCAAAACCACCAGGACAGGAUGUCAUAUGGAUCCAUCGAUGGAGGCUCCUUUGGAGGCAGCCGAAACCCCUUCGGAGGCCCCAAGAGGCAGGGCUACCAACCAGUAGCAACACAGGUCAGCUCCUCAGAGCUGCAAGACAUGUUUCAAGAGACUUCUUCCAACAUUUUCCAGAUCAAUGCAAAUGUUGUAACAUUAGAGAAGAGUCUUCAAUCAUUAGGAACGUCCAGAGACACUGCUGAACUGCGACAGAGCCUACAUUCUACACAGCAGCAAACCAACAAAGUCAUCACCAGCACCAGUCAAUUCAUCAAACAACUCUCUGACAUCAUCACUGGCUCUACACGGCAAGAUCGUCUUCAUCUGACUAGACUUAAGACAGAACUCUCAGAGUCGGUUCAACGCUAUGGAGAUCUGCAAAAGAAAAUUGCAGACCGUUCGAGGGCCUUGCUACCCCCGGCACAGACAGAAAUGAAGCAGAGUCCCCAGACUCCAUUUGCAGAGCUGUGUGAGGAGGGGGGUCCCCUGUUUGGCGGUGCAGCAGAGAGCUCCGAGGGGGAUGGACAGGAGCAAGCGUUCCUCUCAGAGAUCAGUGAGGAAGACGUGGAGGCCCUUCGCCAGAGAGAAGAGGCCCUGCUACAGAUUGAGAGGGACAUGUUGGAUGUCAGCCAAAUCAUGCGAGAUCUGGCCAGUAUGGUGCACGAGCAGGGAGAUGCCAUAGAUAGCAUUGAGGACUACAUUCAGACCACCACAUCCAACGUGGAGUCAGCCAAUCAGGAGCUAGCAAAGGCCAGCCAUCACCAGAGGGAGAUUAGGAAGAGGAAGUGUUACAUGCUGGUGGCGGGAGGCUUCAUCCUCACCCUCCUCAUCAUCAUCAUCGCUGUGUCAGCAAGAAAAUGAAACCAACCCCAGAGGACAUCGUUCAGAUGGGUAUACAAUCACCAAUCUGACGGAAGCCUGGGGUCUUCAUAGACAGAGGUAGCUGCAGUCAUAGUGCUGUGACCUCUCUGCUUCUGCCCCACCUGACCACCUGACCCCUGACCUGUACCAGCUGUCUCAGACAGGAGGGGCCUGCCCCACACCAACACCUCUGCUUCGUCAUGGCUGUGCCUCCUUGGUUAUGUAGUUAGAUAUGUGGUGUGCGCAGGUAUAUGAGUGUGUGUGUGUGUGUGUGUGUGUGUGUGUGUGUGUGUGUGUGUGUGUGUGUGUGUGUGUGUGUGUGUGUGUGUGUGUGUGUGUGUGUGUGUGUGUGUGUCGGGCAGGGGGCGGGGGGAUAGCUGGUACUUCUAUUAUCAUUUUCAAAUGAAUGGCAUACUAGUCUACUGUGAUUCAUUUAUACUGUACCUAACUGUGGUAGCUGUGGCAGCCAACCAGCCAAUCAUGGAAGAGAGAUUUUGAUGUAUCCACUUACUUUACUCUGUUUUCCUCUGUGUUUGUUUACUUGUUUUUGUUUUUUAAGCACUGGAUCAUAUUUAUCUGAUGCUACUGUAUCUACGAAGUAUGAUAUUCAAAUGUUGUGUAGUACUUAUGAUUAUAUGAAUAUAUAAAUGAUCAUUAGACAAAAAUGUAUCAAAUGGUAUGAUAAAAACCAACAGUACUUUAAAAUAUGAUUUACAGCUUUUUUCAUUGUGCUAUUUUAAUAUCAUUUUACUCUUGCUAUCCUCUCUCUCUCUCUCUCGCUCAUGCAAACACAGGCACACUUGCACACAAACAUUUCUAUCUGCCAUGAUCUGAGUGUAAAGAGUGGAACAUGUGACAUAAAUGACAGGUUUGUUGAUCGCCUGAAGCUCUCACCCUCUGGCCAAUCAAUAGGCAGUAGUCAACCACUUUCCCUCCAUUCCCUCCAAAUGUCUCAUCCUGUUACAUAUUUUCCAGGAAGCCUUAUUUAGAGAUAGUAAUAGGCUUAAUUAAUCUCUCAGAGGGGUGAUUAUCAUCUCUCUGAUUUCUCCUCUGGGCUGUAUGUGUGUGCUAUCACUGAGUUCGCUGAAAAGAUGGGUAAGACUGUUCAGUGUGCAGCUUCAGUGUCAGCUCCUAGCCUUCUCUGCUUCCGACGUCAUGCAUCUUUAUUAUCACUCUUCCCUCACAAUCCCCCGGCAUCAGUGGGCUCUAGCUCUUAACUCAUUGCAUGCAUACACACAUCUGAAGUGUUUUAUUAUUGUUAUUUUCUAUUAGUCUUACUGAGUCAGUGUGCCCAGAUAUUUAUUUGUGUUUUUUCAUUUGUACCUUGCAGAGAAAAGGAACAAAAUGAACCAAAAGCACCAAAUAGUUUGUGAAUCUAUCACAAGACAUGGUGGCACUCUAAUUGGGGAGGAAGGACUCGUGGCAAUGGCUGGAGCGGAAUGUUGGAAUGGUAUUAAAACAUCAUUGAUGCCAUUCCACACUCCGUUCCAGCCAUUAUUAUGAGCCGUCCUCCCCUCAGCAGUCUCUACUGGAACCUAUCUUCAAGGUCUGGCAUCACUAUUCAAAUCUAUGCAUAUAUUUAAGGUGAUGUAACUUACUGUAGCUUCUCAUAUCCCCGACAAAAGCUUAACGUUUCUAGAAUUGUGGUGUGGGCGAUGAGAAGAUGAAUGAUAGCUGUGGAUACUUGUGAAGGUUUUCUGUUUGAAUUAAGUUGUGCUUUAUUGCUGUGAUAUGUUCCUUCACUGCUUGUAAAAAUUCUCAGCGUCGCAGAAUAUGAUUAUUCACAAUGGGAAUCAUAUUUUAUGAGAACGUUGAUGUUCAGAAAGGAAUUGGUGGCACCUUAUAUUACUCCUCAGCUCUUUAUUUUACCAUUGUAAAAUGUCCUUACAUUGUGUCCUUUUGAUGAAUAAAAUCUCCUAAAUAUCAGAAGUGAA